rnacentral:lncRNA from 1 species
UGGUCUGGUAAUGGGACUCUAAAGUAGUAGUCCAGCAUCCCGUCUGCGAUGAGAACAGCUCCACGUUAACAUCGUGAAUACCCUAACCCUCAUUGUGACAAGAGGCAUCGGGACGAACCACCUUGAAUCCGAAUUGACCAUUCACACUGACCGAACCAUCAUCCUCGUUGAAACAGUAGAAUGGAUCACAUACGAAACCAACUUUAACGUCC